rnacentral:tRNA from 1 species
GGGCAAUUAGCUCAGUUGGUUAGAGCGCGUCGCUCACAUCGACGAGGUCGCCCGUUCAAAUCGGGCAUUGCCCA